AUUGAACGCUGGCGGCAGGCCUAACACAUGCAAGUCGAGCGAGCGGCGGACGGGUGAGUAAUGUAUGGGGAUCUGCCCGAUAGAGGGGGAUAACUACUGGAAACGGUGGCUAAUACCGCAUACUAUCGGAUGAACCCAUAUGGGAUUAGCUAGUAGGUGGGGUAAUGGCUCACCUAGGCGACGAUCCCUAGCUGGUCUGAGAGGAUGACCAGCCACACUGGAACUGAGACACGGUCCAGACUCCUACGGGAGGCAGCAGUGGGGAAUAUUGCACAAUGGGCGCAAGCCUGAUGCAGCCAUGCCGCGUGUGUGAAGAAGGCCUUCGGGUUGUAAAGCACUUUCAGCGAGGAGGCGUUACUCGCAGAAGAAGCACCGGCUAACUCCGUGCCAGCAGCCGCGGUAAUAC
rnacentral:rRNA from 1 species